rnacentral:rRNA from 1 species
AUUGAACGCUGGCGGCAGGCCUAACACAUGCAAGUCGAGCGGAGCGGCGGACGGGCGAGCAAUGCCGAGGUAUCUGCCUGGUUGUGGGGGAUAACGGCCGGAAACGGGCGCAAAUACCGUAUACUCUUAGACGAGUCUAGGUCGGAUUAGGUAGUUGGUGGGGUAAAGGCCUACCAAGGCGACGAUCCGAAACUGGUCUGAGAGGAUGAUAAGUCACACUGGAACUGAGACACGGUCCAGACUCCUACGGGAGGCAGCAGUGGGGAAUAUUGGACAAUGGGCGAAAGCCUGAUCCAGCCAUGCCGCGUGUGUGAAGAAGGUCUUCGGGUUGUAAAGCACUUUAAGUUGGGAGGCGUUACCAACAGAAUAAGCACCGGCUAACUUCGUGCCAGCCGCCGCGGUAAUUC